rnacentral:tRNA from 2 species
GCGGGCGUGGUGGAAUUGGCAGACACGCCGGAUUUAGGUUCCGGUGGCGCAAGCCUUGGGGGUUCAAGUCCCUCCGCCCGCACCA